rnacentral:rRNA from 1 species
CCUACGGGAGGCAGCAGUGAGGAAUAUUGGUCAAUGGGCGCGAGCCUGAACCAGCCAAGUAGCGUGAAGGAUGACUGCCCUACGGGUUGUAAGCUUCUUUUAUAAAGGAAUAAAGUGAGGCACGUGUGCCUUUUUGUAUGUACUUUAUGAAUAAGAGUCGGCUAACUCCGUGCCAGCAGCCGCGGUAAUACGGAGGAUCCGAGCGUUAUCCGGAUUUAUUGGGUUUAAAGGGAGCGUAGAUGGGUUGUUAAGUCAGUUGUGAAAGUUUGCGGCUCAACCGGAAAAUUGCAAUUGAUACUGGCAGGCUUGAGUACAGUAGAGGGAGGCGGAAUUCGUGGUGUAGCGGUGAAAUGCGUAGAGAUCACGAAGAACUCCGAUGGCGAAGGCAGCUUACUAAGCUGCCACUGACAUUGAUGCUCGAAAGUGUGGGUAUCAAACAGGAUUAGAUACCCUGGUAGUC